GACGAACGCUGGCGGCGUGCUUAACACAUGCAAGUCGAACGGAAAGGCCCUGCUUUUGUGGGGUGCUCGAGUGGCGAACGGGUGAGUAACACGUGAGUAACCUGCCCUUGACUUUGGGAUAACUUCAGGAAACUGGGGCUAAUACCGGAUAGGAGCUCCUGCUGCAUGGUGGGGGUUGGAAAGUUUCGGCGGUUGGGGAUGGACUCGCGGCUUAUCAGCUUGUUGGUGGGGUAGUGGAUUACCAAGGCUUUGACGGGUAGCCGGCCUGAGAGGGUGACCGGCCACAUGGGGCCUGAGGUACGGCCCAGACUCCUACGGGAGGCAGCAGUGGGGAAUAUUGCACAAUGGGCGGAAGCCGGAUGCAGCAACGCCGCGUGCGGGAUGACGGCCUUCGGGUUGUAAACCGCUUUCGCCUGUGACGAAGCGUGAGUGACGGUAAUGGGUAAAGAAGCACCGGCUAACUACGUG
rnacentral:rRNA from 1 species